GCUUGUCUCAAAGAUUAAGCCAUGCAUGUCUAAGUAUAGUACCUUAUACUGCGAAACUGCGAAUGGCUCAUUAAAUCAGUUAUAAUUCAUUUGAUGGUACUUACUACUCGGAUAACCGUAGUAAUUCUAGAGCUAAUACAUGCAUCAAUCCUCUAUUUGAGGUGUAUUUAUUAGAUUGUAACCAAAGCGGGGUAACCCGGUAUAUGGUGAUUCAUAAUAACUUUCGGAUCGAUUUUAAUCGAUGCAUCAUUCAAGUUUCUGCCCUAUCAGCUUUGGAUGGUAGGGUAUUGGCCUACCAUGGCUUUAACGGGUAACGGAGAAUUAGGGUUCGAUUCCGGAGAGGGAGCCUGAGAAAUGGCUACCACAUCCAAGGAAGGCAGCAGG
rnacentral:rRNA from 1 species